AUUGAACGCUGGCGGCAUGCCUUACACAUGCAAGUCGAACGGUAACAGGUCUUCGGAUGCUGACGAGUGGCGAACGGGUGAGUAAUGCAUCGGAACGUGCCCAGUAGUGGGGGAUAGCCCGGCGAAAGCCGGAUUAAUACCGCAUACGACCUGAGGGUGAAAGGGGGGGAUCGCAAGACCUCUCGCUAUUUGAGCGGCCGAUGUCAGAUUAGCUAGUUGGUGGGGUAAAGGCCUACCAAGGCAACGAUCUGUAGUUGGUCUGAGAGGACGACCGGCCACACUGGGACUGAGACACGGCCCAGACUCCUACGGGAGGCAGCAGUGGGGAAUUUUGGACAAUGGGCGCAAGCCUGAUCCAGCAAUGCCGCGUGCAGGAAGAAGGCCUUCGGGUUGUAAACUGCUUUUGUCAGGGAAGAAAUCUUCUGGGUUAAUACCUCGGGAGGAUGACGGUACCUGAAGAAUAAGCACCGGCUAACUACGUGCCAGCCGCCGCAGUAAGAC
rnacentral:rRNA from 1 species